rnacentral:tRNA from 1 species
GUUGUCGUGGCCGAGUGGUUAAGGCGACAGACUAUAAAUCUUUUGGGAUCUUCCCGCGCAGUUUCGAAUCCUGCCGUCUACG